UACGUAGGGGGCAAGCGUUGUCCGGAAUCAUUGGGCGUAAAGCGCGUGUAGGCGGCUUUGCAAGUCGGGUGUGAAAGCCCUCAGCUCAACUGAGGAAGUGCGCCCGAAACUGCAGAGCUUGAGUGCCGGAGAGGGUGGCGGAAUUCCCCAAGUAGAGGUGAAAUGCGUAGAGAUCGGGCGGAACACCAGCGGCGAAGGCGGCAUCCUGGCCCUGUCCUGACGCUGAGGCGCGAGAGCGUGGGGAGCAAACCGG
rnacentral:rRNA from 1 species